rnacentral:lncRNA from 1 species
CCUUAUAAAAACUCCCCUUCCCCCCUCAUUAUCACUUUUACUGACUCUUUGCUUUCAAAUUCUCCGGCAAGGCAAUUUCCGGCAAGCUUAUCUCUUACCCAAUCUGCACCAUUUUCCUCCCCUGUACUGUCACUUGAGUGCUAUUUUUGCUUAUCUCCCUUCCAUAACUUCUUAUUUGAAUCACAUUCUUUCUAAAUGGCCAAAUCCAGUACUAUUCCGGCCACUGAGCCUAUCACCACUACCUCCACCGUCACCACCGGCGACCUUCUAGAGGUCGUACUGCAGGAUGCCCCUGCCGACGACACUCCUUCGAUCCUGCCUAGUCCGGUAGACGC